AGAGUUUGAUCAUGCUCAGGAUGAACGCUAGCGGCAGGCUUAACACAUGCAAGUCGAGGGGCAGCGCGGGUAGCAAUACUUGGCGGCGACCGGCGAAAGGGUGAGUAACGCGUGAGCAACAUACCCGUUGGUGGGGGAUAGGAGGUGGAAACGCCUUGUAAUACCCCAUAUGAUACGAAGUGGCAUCACAUUGUAUUGAAAGAUUCAUUGCCAACGGAUUGGUUCGCGUGCCAUUAGGUAGACGGCGGGGUAACGGCCCACCGUGCCGACGAUGGCUAGGGGUUCUGAGAGGAAGGUCCCCCACAUUGGAACUGAGACACGGUCCAGACUCC
rnacentral:rRNA from 1 species